rnacentral:rRNA from 2 species
UUGACCUCAAAUCAGGUAGGACCACCCGCUGAACUUA